rnacentral:lncRNA from 1 species
GAAUUUUGGAAUCAGAGCAUAGAGGAAAAAGGUAAAGAGUUACUGACCCAUCUCUUGUGCUUUGCUCUUUUCUCUUUUCAAUCUUAAUAUUUUUUAUUCAACUAGUUCAUCAAUUUCUGAUAUUUAAAUGAGGUUGUUUUCAUAGAGUUGAAGUGAAUUAUAAUAGGAUACGAUGAUGGGAAGGAGGUGGCUCGUGCGUUCUCGAGCGCUGUGUUUUUGAGGUUAGGAUGCCUAAGCUAUUCUUUAAUUUGCUUCAAUUGAUACCCUGCUAAUGCCCAAUAAUCAUGUUACUUGUAUUAUUCUAUUGAUGGCAUUAAAUAAUUUUCUAAUUUUCUAAUUAUUAGGCCUGCUACAGGGUUUUGGGUUGAUGGGUUAAUUCCAUUCCCAAAUUACCUUUUGCUUAGCUAAGGAGAUGGGACCAAACCCACAAAGUUUAAUUAUAAUUAUGGCUACAUCAGUUAAUGCCUUGUGAGGUCUGAGAACUACUCUAAAUGGUAGGUAGAUUAUUUUAAUAGUAGCAUAUUAUUAGAACAAAAGCUUUUCUAAUUCUAAAUUUUAGUUGGUUCCUGUCAGUCCAAAUACUGGGUUUGGUGAGGGGUUUUUUCUCCUUUUUGUAUAUGUAGUAGUUGGCUUUUCCAUGUAUUGUUUUGAUAUUAUUCUGAUUCUUAUAAUAUUGCCUGAUGAAAUGUCAGUUUCUUCCUUGUGAUGUAUCUUUCAAAUUGAAGAAAUUGGAAGGUACAUGCAUGUGAAAACUGCACUCUUUUUACCAACACCCAUUUUCUAAGUAAGAUCUCGAGUUUGAAUUGAGAUCGGUGUCUUUUGGAUAUAUAUAUAAAAAAAAAAACUCAAGGCAUAUUGUGUUGAAUGGUAUAGGAAAGGGGAAUUUAGCCUUGAGAGGGGAGGCACUGAUGGUCCCCUCCUUUUGAGGUUUUAGAUUAGGACGGUAUCCCCCAUUUUAUGGACAUAAUCUGUUUCACACUGGGUAGGUUGGUGGGUGGGGGAAAUUGUCUUUUACUUCCAAUAGUUUACGAAAGGAAGAGCAAUGGGUUGGAAAUUUCCUGCACAAGCUUAUGAAGGACUUUUUUCUUUUUUAACUUGAAUUGAUGACAACAUUGAAAGCUUGGAAAAUACCUUUUUCUUGAAUGGAAUUAUUAAGUUCUAUUAUUAGCCUAUAAUGUAUUAUAUAAUCUCUUCAAAAUUCUAUUCGUCUGUCAGCUCAUUCGCCGAAGCUUCAAAAUUAAAUGAACUCCCUUGUCUAACAAAAUUUUACCCCCUUCUUUUUUGUACCAUGAACCUUUUAUUCUUAUCCUGCCUACAUGUAUUUACUGUUGCUACACUUGUCGUUUCUUUGCCUCAUGCAGGGUUCUUUUGGAUGUUUAGUUUUUUUUUGACUCACGCUUUAGUAUCUAAUCUUAUUAUUAUUGUUGUUUUUACACUGACCACAAAUAAAUACAUUAUCCAUAUAAAUGCAAUUUGAUGAUAAUAAUAAGCAAUUCAUCUUGACUAUUUAUAUUGUUUUGCUUUGUGUUAUAAAAAACUCCAAAAUCAAUCAUUGGUUCUGAAAAUUAUUACUCUUAUCAUCUUAAGCCUCUAAUUCUCUGUAAUACUAUGAAAUUUCAGAAUAAAGAAGGUGUUUUUCCCUGAGAUGAAAAAAAUUGGGUCAUUACUAGUUGCAAUUUACUUUGUAAAAGCUUAAAAGACAAAUCAGGGUUUUUUUUUUAGUUUCACUAGAAAUGCACUUAGUGCUAUCGGUCCCAAUUCCCAAAAAAGAAAAAAGGGCAGUUAGAUAAUUAUAUAAUAAUUAAUGGUAAGAAUUGAAGUUUUGGUAUAAAUUCAUAUACUAAUAUUUGAAGUCGAAAGUCGAUAUCUAUGGUGUAUUGUACUAUCUCAAAAUCUUUUGCCAAAAUUGAAGUUUUGGUAUGAAUUUUUAUACUUAUAAUAUGUAGUAGGUUUAUUCAUUAGCUUCAAUAAUUAGAUAUUUACUUAUAAUAUGUAGUAGGUUUAUUCAUUAGCUUCAAUAAUUAGAUAUCAUAGUUCUUUCUUUUGGGUUAUAUAAAAAGAGCACAUGUUUACAGCAUGCUUCCAUAAACUAAACACCCUAUAUUAAAAGAUUACAAAAAUAAGGUUUCCAAUGUGUUAAUUAACAAAAACAAGAAGAAUAUAACACAAAAGUGAUAAGCUACGAUAGUCAACUUUAUGGGGAUAAAAAGAAAAACAGUAGAAGCAUAGAAUAAACGAUACUUUUAGUUAUAUUUAUAAAUUUUCUUUGUAUUCUUCUGUGCCAUUUCAUGUAAUUUUUUUUAACUGGUGCCUGUUUACUGUUAGUAGUAAUGAUUAAUUCUGCUAUUAAUUCUGCUACUGUGAAAAUUCUUCACAAAGGUAAAUGAUAAAUUACAAAAAGUACUUUAUUUUUGUGAAUGGGACUGAAUUUUGAUUUUUUUAUUAGGUGAGUGAUGUUAGUAAAGAGCCCUCUAGCAGGUUCCUGAAGAAAAAUCAAUAGCCGUCUGCUUGUAUUACAGAGCACCAACCCACAUUUCCGUUGUUCUCCACAAUCCAGUACUGCACCUGUCUCUAACACCUCCUCCUAGAGCGACUCUAUCCUUAUUAUUCCUAGUAGCUUCGUACAUAUUGACUUUAACCCUUAUUAUUCCUAGUAGCUUCGUACAUAUUGACUUUAACCCGACCACUAUUCGCAGUCUGGUAUUAUUGUAAAUACGGACAAUAAUAAUAUGUCGAGUGUAAUUGAGUGAUGAUAAAAUAUUCUUAUUAGUAUAAGAUAUCAAGUCACGUAUUAGAGUGUAUUGGUAGAACAGUGUGCUAAGUUGAUGUGCCGCUAGAGAAGGCUAAAAUUUGACACAACAUUCAUGCUUGUUUAAUGUAUAUGGUGGAUCCAAUGAUUCAUAUAUUUUAAAUUGAAAUAAAAUCUAUUUACUAAUUUUACUAGUAUUUAAUAAAAAUCUGCUAAAAUGUAAUUUAUAAAUUUUAAAAUAAUAAAAAAUUUUAUGUGUUGGCCUGAUGGUUAGGGUGUUACUGUUCUAGGUAUGGCCUGAAUUUGAGUUGUGCUAGUCGCGUUGUUGUUAGGGUUUUGCCAUUCCUAUAUCUCAUUCUUUUAUACAACUAAAAUUUUUUCGCUAGCAUCAAGAGAAUUUUGAAACUAUGUUUAAAUGUCCUAUUUCAUUCGUUCCGACUGAGUGAAUAUAGUAAAGUUGUGGUUGCGACUUGUUUGUGCGUUGAAAAUACUCUAUCAGACUCGAUCUUGUCUAUUCAUAUGGGAACAUUUUCGCACGUAAUAAAUUCGUAGUGUGGGAUUGAAAAUCCAACAGAAGUGUCCAUUGCUAUCAUGCUGAACAAGGUUAAAGCUCCUA